GCCAGAUGUGAACUCAGCAUUUUAUAUACUACACCACCUAGCUGCCCAAAUAUAGCAAAAGAACUUUGGAUCCAUUAUCUAUGAAGUAUGUCAUGGAGUCAAAACUGGUGCAAGUCAGAGUAGGUUGCAAAGAGGAAGCAAAAGAAGAUUUCUGGCAACUAGACAAAAUAGGAACAGUACACAAGGGUGAAAAUUCAGGAUUAGGAACUGUGGCCAGUAGCCUUGUAGAAACUAGUCUGGGUAUUUGAUAUUCAAUCCUAAGCAACAGAAGCUUCUUCAACUGGCACAUGCAUUGUUUUAACUCUACAACUUUCACAAACACACAUUUACAUACAAUCUUGUAAUUUCUUUGAUCUUUGGGCUGGUGGUAUGUUCAUAUGUUAUCUAUCUGAGUCUGGCUGAAAGGAUACAGAAAUCUAGAUACCUGGAAGGGCUCCCUAUGCUACCCCCAUGGAAGCAUUUUCCUUAUUUGAAUCAAAUUUGCAAGUGACUACAGAAAUGUGUAGUGGCUAUAAAAGCAUGAUUUAUGUAUGAAAAGUGAAAUAAAAGGUAUCAAUACAUUACUGGAGAAGAAAAUGGCCUUUUAAAAUGACCACAGAUGGCCACAGAUAGGCAGCCUUUGGUAAUUCAAUGGGAAAUAUUCAAUGAAUGAAAGGUCUGGGGCAGUUGGUGAGUGUCCACAUGACAUGUAUGACAGUAUGCAUGAAAUUCUAGGGCCAUCUAAACAUCUGAUCUUCCAAAACUCCUGUGAUAGCAAUCCCAACCUCAGGGGUCAAUAUUCCAGACUAACCCUCAUAGAAUAUUCAUAGAACUCUAUAAAGUCCUUUCUUGCUUGAUCUUCUAGGUCCUGAUUAUAUUUCUUGAUUUGCUGCUCUCUCUCUCUGCUGCUUCCCUUAGGAGCUGCUUAAGAUCAGUGACCCUCUGGAUUUUUUGCAGGAUUCAUAGCUAUGGCUUUACAUUGAAGCAACAGAGUUGAAUGUUUUUUCUUCCCUUUUUUUUAAAAGGCACAGAAUUUCAUCUUAUAUGUUGUGGUUCUCCCUUAAGGCUCUGCUCUGAGUAGAUAUCUUCAGGGAAGUUUUUAAGGUUAUAAUAAAAAAAAAUUUAGAAGGUUUACUAUAUGGAGAGCAUUAUGCUGUUAAAAGGUAUCAACUGUAAGGAGGCAUAACUAAAGUAUAGAUUUUCCCAAAGAAAGUAUUUACAGAUUUCUAGUAUUUCUAGAUUUCUAGUGAAGGAACAGUUCAAUAAGCAGAGUAGGAAAAAAUAAAUGAUAAGAUUGUAAAAGUAAUGCAAAGUCCUUUCCUGAUAGUGAGAAUUCCUUGCCUUAUUUUCUAAGUCUUGAUCAUAUUUCUAAGUUUACUGCAAGGAAGGUCUCCUGGCACCUGUGUAGAGGAGAGGGACUAAAAAAAACCCAAAAGGCCCAAUGAGUCAAAAGAGAGGAGGGCUCAUAUGUAGGAGGGGCUCAUAUGUAGGUGAAUGUCAUUCUGAGCUGAUAGACUUCUGAGCAUGUGAGUCACAAGGUCCAGCCCUACAGGGCUGUUCUAAUUAUUCCCUGAACAUGUUCCACAUUCCCAUCUCAACAGUUUUUUCUCAUGAUGCUCCCUCAGCUCUGAAAUCCUUUUCUUAUCAUAUCAAUCUGUUGGAAUCCCACUCAUACUUCAUACUUCAGGAUUUCAUAUCCCUUGUCUGUGACUCCCUUAUUCUUCCUCCACUAACUGCUCAAACCCUUUAAUUGGGUUUUACCUUUAUCACAUCAUACCCUACUGUGUAGGAAACUCUCAAAUCACUGACAGAAAAGAUUAUAAUUUGUCAUUUUCUAUCUCCCACAAGACCUAGUAGAAUGCCCCAUACCUAGAAGCUGAAAAUAUUUGUUGAAUGAAGAAAUAUCAGAAAAACAAAUAGAAACAGCAUUGAGGGUCUUGUGACUUUUUUUUUUUUUUUUUUGAAAACUUGAAUUUCAUGACAAUGACCGUGGUAGAAUGAGAUAAUGAAUAAAAUCCAAUUUCCAUUUGAUAUUUUAAGUGAAUGACAUAGUUGAAUUUUUUGGAAGAAAUCUGACUAGUCCUAUUGGCAACAGUGGAAGCAAAUAACAGUCACUGUCUACAGGGAUAUCGAGUCCCUGUUGUUCAGGGGAUCCAAAUCAUGCCAUCACUGUAGCUACUUGAUGGUACAGAUUCAUAUCCUUAAAAAUAAUGGAGACAAGCCAGUCUUCUGAAACUUCUUACCUUGUGUCAAUGACUAAUUUCAAACUCUGCCUUUCAGCCCCUUUCAGCUGUAGAUUUCUGCUUUCAAUCAGAUGCAUUCUCUUUCUCAUCUCUUCCAGAUCAGCUGUUAGCUUCUCAAUUGCUAUUUCCAAGUCAUUUUUUCCAAUCGCUGUGUUUUGGAAGUUUUAACUUCUAUCAAAGAAGUGACUAAUGAGGACAUUAGGAGUAACAAACUCUGUAAGAGUGAUUGCAAGGUUGAUAAUUUAGAAGGACAAAAGUUGUCUUUUUGAGCUAAACUCCCAUAUUCCUAUACUUGUGACCUAACCAUGACCAAAAGCCAUGUUGACUGAACACUUAAUAGAAUAUAUUUCAGCUACUAAACAUUGAAAAAAAAAAAAAAGGAUUAUUUCAUUAUUCCUCCAGAACUGCUUUUCUGGUAUAUGAUAUCUCUAUGGUUUCCUUGUGGUAUUAAAAAAAAAAAAAAAACCACCUAAUUUUCUAGAGCAAAAUGGGAAACAAUGCUAUUUCAGAUAAACAUUUAGGAGCUUAAAAUAUGAAAGUCCUCAUAAAUGUUAAUCCAAAGCUUGAGGUAUUUAAUUAACUUGUGAAAAUAAAGGAGGAUGACUAGGGGAUAACUUAGGUACAAAAUGGAGGAAAGUAAAUCAUUUUCCUAACCAAAAAAAAAUGUGAUGAGUAAUAAGUGUUUUUGAUAUCUAAGUAAUUUUGUAUUUAAUGCUUUAGCAGAAAAAAGGGGCAAUGAAGCACUGCUCUGUCUUUGAGAUGUGCUGGGGGCCUAUACACCACAUCAGCUGGUAGGGUGGGCCCAGGAGGUAAAAAGGGGCUUGGCCUCUGAGGCAGGAAAUUGUGUCUGACAGGAGUUAAGGAACUGCUAUAGGUUUCUUAAGAUGGUGAGGGGCAUGUCCUCUUGCUAGAUCUCCUCCUGGGAUGCAGGGCUAACUCCAGAAGUCUCCGGUAUAGGGCUCCGCCUAUGCAGUUCUGAGUGGGCUGGGCAUGGACAAUCCCAGAGGAGAGGCAGCAUAAAUAGACAGCCCUGAGCAGAACUUGCUCUCUUGCUUUUGAGCUCUUGCUCUUGCGCUCCUGCGCUCUAGCUUCCUGUUUCCUCCACUGAGAGGGUGACCGAAUAAAGACAGAAUGUUUGCACCUUCUGGUGGGCCUGUCUCUAUGUGAUCUGGGUUGGAGCCUGAAGACUGGUAAAUUGGCCUAGCCAUGCUACUGACCGAUAGACAGAUAGAGUAGCCUUAAGGGAUGCUACAAGUGGUGACUGAACAGGCACCACGUGGCUAGGACCUCACUGUGUAGCAGGCCUAUAGGGUGGGAAGAGAAACAAAACUCUGCUCUAGUGAGUGGAACGUUUGGUAUGGGACAAACUAUAGUGAGGGUCCCAUACCAGGAGGUGCCAGGGAAAGUAGUUUAUAGAAUAGUAAAGCAAGCAGGACUGGAAAUUGAUUUUAAAAGUGGCAGAUAGUAGGUAGUCAGAUGGCUUCCUAUGAUAAGGAAACACUGGGAGCCAUCCCAGAACAGCAUCACCUCAUUUAUCAAGUGAUUGGGAGCACUUUAAGAGGUGCAAGCCACAAUCCAUUAAAAGUAGAUAAUGAAGUACAAAGGGAGAGUCAUAAAACAAAUGAGGGUCAUAAACCAGGACCAGCCAUGCCCAUAACAUGGAGCUGGUCGAAGUUAGUUGUGGGAAAGAAUCAGGAAGUAAACAAGAAGAUGGAGAUGGAUGUGACAAGAGGUAGUGAGGAAGAAGCAGGAAGUGGAUAUGAUGGAACAGGAGGAGACAGAGAGAUAAGAUGAGUAAUGAGGAAGUAAACAGAGAGACAUGUGAUCUUGAGGAAAAGGAUGGUGAUAAGACAAGGGAGAAGAAAGCCAACAGAGGGAAGGUUGUCUCCAUCUCCAAGCAUGGUCUUCUCCCUCAUCCACUGCCCUCUCUGGGGAGAUAUGUCUCCUGUCUGCUCCCUCUGAGCCUCCUUGUGGAGGCUUUGGAGAUUCCCAGACAAAUUUAGGACAAAUAAUACAAAAAGCUGGAAGAUAUAAAAGAAAUGAGGAUCAAAGGCAAUAUGAUGCAGCAGUAUAGCAGCUGUGUCCCAAUAUGCUCAAUGAGCAUUUAGCAAAAUUCAGACUUCUGGAAACAGAGGCCCUCAAUGACAAAGAUUAAACAGGGCCCAAAUGUACCUUUUCCUGAUUUUGUGGUGCGCCGACAGGCGGCUGUUGUCAUUGGGCAAAAGAGAAGCCUCCACUCUCCUUAUACAGAAAUUGGCACAGGAGAAUGCUAAUACUAACUGCCAAAAGGCCAUGCUUACUUUAGAUGGGGAGGCUGGCCUGAAAGAGAUGAUAAAGAGAUGCAAAAAUGUCGGCUCCAGUGCUGUAUUUAAAGAGUUUGCAGCAGAAUACCUGCCCUGGCAGUUUGCAGACUAACAAGAGGAUAUUCUGACCCCUGGUGGCCACAGGUCUCAGGUCCUGAUGGGAAAGCCACUGGAUUCCAGAAAGAAGGACAAAGAGAGUUUCCCCUAUUAAAAACAGGGGCUGAAGAAGAAAAUGAGAUAACCCAGAAAAUGCCAGAAACAGCACCAUAGCAGGGACAUGACCACUUUGCUGGACCAGUUUAGUGAUUGGAUCCAACAUACUUCCUUUCCCAUGCCCUUCUAUUGUAUCCCAUGGGCUCCAUGUAGCCAUUUUUGUAUUGUUGAUUCUUUUGCUUUUGCCUAGUUUGCUAGGAUGCUUUAUAUGUAUUCUUAGAAAUUCUGGAGAGGUGCUUAUGGAAGAGCUUCUCAUUCGUCAAUAUGAGAACACUCAGUCUUAUUAAUAAAAAAGGGAGUAAGGGGCAAUGAGACCCUGCUCUCUAAGAUGUGUCACAGGGCCUGUACCCACGUCAGGGCCUGUACCCAGCAAGUAAAGAUUGUGUCUGGCAGGAGAAACUACCAUAGGGUUCUUGAGAUGGGGGGGGGGGUCCUUUUGGUAGAUCUCCUCCUCAGACCCAGCUAACUCCAGAAGCCUCCAGUCUGGGGCUCUGCCUGUGCAGUUCUGAGUGGGUUGGGCAUGGGCAAUCCCGGGGAGAAGCAGCAUAAAUAGCCCUGAGCAGAGCUUCCUUGCUCUCCUGCUCCUGCUCUCCCUCUUCCUGCUGCCCUCACUGAGAGGAUGACUGAAUAAAGACAGAAUGGUUGCACCUCCUGGUCAGUCUGUCUCUGUGUGAUCCUGGUUGGAUCCUGAAGACUGAUAAGCUGGCCUAGUCACCGGCCACUGAAGGGUGGGCAGAUAGAGUAGCCUUAAGGGAUGCUACAACUAGCACUGAGAUUUUCUCUUAGAAUAGCUUUUCAUCUAUGUGGAGCAUCAAGAUUCCAGAAAAUUUCCAUCUGCUUUGGGUCAAUCUUAGAGAUAAUUAUAUCUAUUUGUGGUAAAAGGAACAAUUCAUGCUAGAAAAUUUUUAAAAAGAAAAAAGACUUAACUUCAUUAAUGUGUUACUAAUGUCUGAGAGGCGAGCACAGACUUAAAUGUACUAUAUCUCUAAUAUUAUUACUCCAAAUAAUAAAGUUAAACCCUCUUGACUCCAGGGACCACCUGAAGAGGCAAGUAUGAGACAAAAGCACUGGGUUUGGAAGUCAAUCUGAUUUCAGUCACUAGCCAUAGGACCCUGAGCAAGUCAUGUUACCUUUCUGAGACUGUUUCCUCAAUUAUGAAAUAAAGUUUUGUUAGAU